UGGCGCACGGGUGCGUAACACGUAACUAACCUACCUAUAACUGGGGGAUAGCCCGCCGAAAGGCGGAUUAAUACCGCAUAAGCUAUUUGAGUGGCAUCACUUGAUUAGUAAAGAUUUAUUGGUUAUAGAUGGGGUUGCGGGUCAUUAGCUAGUUGGUUGGGUAACGGCUGACCAAGGCGACGAUGACUAGGGGAGCUGAGAGGCUGGUCCCCCACACGGGCACUGAGAUACGGGCCCG
rnacentral:rRNA from 1 species